GGUUCUUCCCAAAUUUAAACACCAGUGAAAUUAGUAGAACUCCUUUUAUGAAAUACCCCAGCGUCCGCGGCAGUAACUUCAUCCGCUUCUCAAUCCUUAUACACCCCAGCCCUAACUCGAAUACAUUGAACGAAGGCACCACCCCAGCCAAUAGAAGCUCUCGCAUCUCGCGCUCCAACGAGGACUGCUUAGCUCGCGUCGCAUGCUGGUCUCCAGAAGCUGCCGGUCGCUCAGGUGUCUCCGCGUUCUGGCCCAUCCUCUCUGCUCCAAAAGUAGCUUUCAUCCCUGGCAAAAUUGAGUUAAGCUCUCUUGUCCCAACCUGGUCAGCAACAAUCAACACAGUAAGUAAUGGAGUAAAAUUCAUUUUUCCGUUCUCAUAUGCCAAAUUUCAAAUUUAUUUUACCCCAUGAAAAAAAAGGAAUUCUCAUUAAUUGUAGUCAACUUGUUGCUGAAACAUGCCAAGAAAUAGAGGAGUUUCCUUUCACCGUAAACUUUUUUUCUUCUGGGUAAGAAUUGUACACAAUAGAAUGCCCUUUGAAGGCGUAUAUUCCCUACUCUGCAUUUCCCUGUUAUAUAAUUCAUAGCUUGACAUCGGCUCUUUGUAUUUACUAACUUGGGUUGAAGCAUUUGUAUCAUUGAAAUGCAAAUAGCACUUCAAAAGGAGUAUUUUGAUGCAGAAGUAGGAAAUGUUAUGAUGAGGAAUAGGAAAUGUACAGUUGGGAAAAGAGGAGUGGGACUUAGGAGUUGGUGUAUCGGAGGGGGAUACUAGAGUAGAUUUGGUAGUUUAAAAUGCACUACUCUUUUAGAAGUAAACUUGAUUUAGAAGAAAAAAUGCAUAUAUCCCCGUUUGCAGUCACCAGCGUGGCCAUUUAGCAUAGUUUUGUCUUAUUUUUACCAAAACAUUGCAAGAGUUGGUCAAUAAUUGAGUUGUAUAUUCUUAAAUGUGUCAACUUUAGUUUUGAUUUUGUUUUGAUAUGCACAUUAUUGCUGGAUCAUAGAUUAUUGUUUGUAAAUUAUUUAAUGUUACACUAUAUGUCAACCCAGCAUUUAGAAAGAAAACUUUUGGAACACCAAUAGGAAUUAAAUGGAUAACUAAAAUCAAGUAAUAUAAGAUGAGUGUAUCAAUUCAUCCCUUUGAAUAGCAUAGUCAAAUGAAGAAAUCAUUAAAAUGCAAAAACCAAUAUGUAUCUUCUAGUAUCUUAUACAACAAUAACUCCAAGAACAAGUAAACUUUAUCAUAUCAGGUGUGUUUGUGUUUAGAAUAAAUGCACAUAGCUGGAUUUUAAUUCUUUCAUUUUUGGGCACUAAAGUGUUAAAUUGUGCUAACUCUUGCCGUUUUUCUUUGCAAGGCAGAAAGUAUUGCAAAUCAUUCCCAUAACAUGCUAAAAUAAUGAUCCCUAUAUGUUGGUGAUUACUUUAAUAGCAUAUUAUUUACUUCUUUCAGGGAGGUGAGAAGUUGGGUUAUGAGACCAAAGCAUUUGCAAUCUAUGAUGUGAUGAGUUUAAUAUCUAUACCUUUUUUUUUCAUCUUCUAUACAUAACAUAUAUAUGUCAAGUGAAUCUAACUUUUAUUAUUGGCUAGCAUUGUUCUCGUUGAAUGCUUAUUUAUAUAUAAUCAGUAGAUGUAUUGAAAUAAUAAAAGAUUUCAUUCCAAAUUAUAGUUUCACAUGUUUGUAAUCUUAUAUCUAUAUUUAAACUUGUUUUUUCUAUAUGAAUUAGUCAACGAAUUAUAUUUCAAUUUCGGUUGUAACAAAUUCACCAAAAAAGCAUGAAUGUGCUUUGACUCUUCUUGAUUCUAAUUUGUUUUUUCGUUGAAACAAGCGCCCUUUAUCUUCUAAGAUGGCUAGAAAAGGUCAUUUCACGAAGAAACCGAAAUUAGGACCAGGAUGUCAGCAACCACAAACUGCUCCGCCUCCAAUCUCGCCUUCCCACCGCGAUGACUCUCAAAUUCUCCCGGACAGUGGUGAUAGUAUCCCUACAACUUCACGCCCGUUCCUUCCGCCGCGCAGUGUACUAAGGCCUGCUCCACAAACGAGCACAAAUAACAUUCAGGACUUGGAGCCAAGCCAUGUAAACUCGGCAGAUAAUGCUAAUUAUGUAGAUUCUGUUGAUCAAGAAGCUGAUUACUCCUUUGUUGAUUCUAGAGCUCAGAAUCGCAAAGGACGCAAGACUACAGAGUUUUGGGAAGUCAGGAUAAUCGAUUUCGAUGGCACAAUCAAGCCGGCAAGACUAAGCGCAAGGUAGGCUAUGGAACGGCCUAACGGUAGAAAGAUCAUACUCAGGUUCAACAAUGCAAAGCAAGCAAUUGGAAACGAAGCUAGACUGUUGAGUGGCGUGCUUGGUCUGCUAGGAUCUUACUUUGGAAAAUUUCCUAUCUGUGAGGAAAGUUGGCGUAAGAUUACCACUAAGGACAAAGUUUAUAACGAAUGUGUCAAGAUAGCGAAGGAACUAUUAAGAAAAAUAUUUUGAAAGUUAUGGAGAAGUUUUGGAAGGAAACAAGGCUCAGGUUGUAUAAUGAUUUUUUCGAGCCAACGUUCAUGACUGAACAAAAUAUUGAGCAUCGUCCGCCGGGAAUCGAUCGAGAGUAUUGGAGAUGGUUCCUUGACUAUCGUGCCAAAGCUGAGAUGAAGGAGAAGUGCAGGAAAAAUGCAAAGAAUCGAUCAAAACAACUAUAUACUCACACUGGCGGUUUGAAAAGCUUUGCACGGCGGAUGGAAGAAGAGUCGGAACAACAUGGGGAGAAGAGUCGAUAGAGGAGAGUUAUGGAUCACAGUGCACAAAAAAAAAAGAUGGCUCCUAUAUGAAUGAUGAAGCAAGAGCAAUUGGUGAAAGAAUUGAGGAGAUUGAGCAACAGGAUGAGUCAUCUAGGGUGUUGUCUCAAAAUGAUUCCAUUGCUCAGGUUUUCGAAAAAGAGAAGCCGGGUAGAGUAUGUGGUGUGGGUUUUGGACUGACUCCUAGUCAACUCUUCGGUCUAAAUUCACAUGUGCCUGAAAACGGAGUCCAACUAGAGGAGACCCAGAGGAAGCUGCUUGAACUGCAGUCAGAGCUGGAAGGCGAGAAGUUGAAGAGGAAGGUGAUGGAGGAUGAUGCAGCAGCAGAGAAGAAAAAGAUGAAGGCGAUGGAGAGUGCUCUGAUUUAUCUGUUUCAAAGGCAGGGUGAAGAGUUGCCACCAGACAUCGCUGCGGGGAUCGGAUGAGUUUUGUGGAAUGAUAAAGUGAAAAAAGAAUAUUAGGAUUGGAGAUAUUUUGCAUUGAAGCAAACAUUUUACUGAAUUAGACUGAGCAACUCUUUGAAAGAGAUUUAUUUUCAUCGUAUUUUGAUGGAUAUAUUAUUUUGUUUUGCUUA